rnacentral:rRNA from 1 species
GUGGGGAAUAUUGGACAAUGGGCGAAAGCCUGAUCCAGCCAUGCCGCGUGUGUGAAGAAGGUCUUCGGAUUGUAAAGCACUUUAAGUUGGGAGGAAGGGCAGUAAGUUAAUACCUUGCUGUUUUGACGUUACCGACAGAAUAAGCACCGGCUAACUUCGUGCCAGCAGCCGCGGUAAUACGAAGGGUGCAAGCGUUAAUCGGAAUUACUGGGCGUAAAGCGCGCGUAGGUGGUUUUGUAAGUUGGAGGUGAAAUCCCCGGGCUCAACCUGGGAACGGCCUCCAAAACUACUGAGCUAGAGUACGGUAGAGGGUAGUGGAAUUUCCUGUGUAGCGGUGAAAUGCGUAGAUAUAGGAAGGAACACCAGUGGCGAAGGCGACUACCUGAACUGAUACUGACACUGAGGUGCGAAAGCGUGGGGAGCAAACAGGAUUAGAAACCCUGGUAGUCC